rnacentral:rRNA from 1 species
UACGUAGGGAGCAAGCGUUAUCCGGAUUUAUUGGGCGUAAAGCGCGCGUAGGCGGCUUGUUAAGUCAGGUGUUAAAGGCAAGGGCUCAACCCCUGUUCGCACCUGAAACUGGCAGGCUUGAGUUUGGUAGAGGAAAACGGAAUUCCCAGUGUAGCGGUGAAAUGCGCAGAUAUUGGGAAGAACACCGGUGGCGAAGGCGGUUUUCUGGGCCACAACUGACGCUGAGGUGCGAAAGCUAGGGGAGCAAACAGG